rfam:Myotis davidii contig319671, whole genome shotgun sequence.
GGCAGUUCUCAGGUGAUGCACCCUGGAAUCAGGCUCCCUCCUCUCUGGUUCCAGGUGUGUCACCCGAGAACCAUA